rnacentral:tRNA from 1 species
ACUUAAAUAGCUUAUGUUAGAGCGUGACGCUGAAGAUGUCAAUGAGGUUAAAUAUUACCUUUAAGUA